CGGGAGCACCGGCGGACGGGUGCGUAACGCGUACACAACGUACCUCAGAGCGGGGGAUAGCAUUGGGAAACUGGUGGUAAACCCCCCAUGGUGUUGAAGAAUGGCAUCAUUUUUCAACUAAAGGUUACACUCUGAGAUCGGUGUGCGUCUGAUUAGCUAGUUGGCGGGGUAACGGCCCACCAAGGCGACGAUCAGUAGGGGGUGUGAGAGCAUGACCCCCCACAUGGGUACUGAGACACGGACCCA
rnacentral:rRNA from 1 species